rnacentral:rRNA from 15 species
CCCAGUAAACGGCGGCCGUAACAAUAACGGUCCUAAGGUAGCGAAAUUCCUUGUCGGGUAAGUUCCGACCUGCACGAAUGGCGUAACGACUUCCCCGCUGUCUCAACCGCGAACUCGGCGAAAUUGCACUACGAGUAAAGAUGCUCGUUACGCGCAGCAGGACGGAAAGACCCCGGGACCUUCACUAUAGUUUGGUAUUGGUGAUCGGUGCGACUUGUGUAGGAUAGGUGGGAGACUGUGAAGCGGUCACGCUAGUGAUGGUGGAGUCAACGUUGAAAUACCACUCUGGUCGUUCUGGAUGUCUAACUUCGGUCCGUGAUCCGGAUCAGGGACAGUGCCUGGUGGGUAGUUUAACUGGGGCGGUUGCCUCCUAAAGAGUAACGGAGGCGCCCAAAGGUUCCCUCAACCUGGUUGGCAAUCAGGUGGCGAGUGUAAGUGCACAAGGGAGCUUGACUGUGAGACUGACAGGUCGAGCAGGGACGAAAGUCGGGACUAGUGAUCCGGCAGUGGCUUGUGGAAGCGCUGUCGCUCAACGGAUAAAAGGUACCCCGGGGAUAACAGGCUGAUCUUGCCCAAGAGUCCAUAUCGACGGCAUGGUUUGGCACCUCGAUGUCGGCUCGUCGCAUCCUGGGGCUGGAGUAGGUCCCAAGGGUUGGGCUGUUCGCCCAUUAAAGCGGUACGCGAGCUGGGUUUAGAACGUCGUGAGACAGUUCGGUCCCUAUCUACCGUGGGCGCUGGAAAUUUGAGAGGAUCUGCUCCUAGUACGAGAGGACCAGAGUGGACAAACCUCUGGUGUACCGGUUGUCACGCCAGUGGCAUCGCCGGGUAGCUAUGUUCGGAAUAGAUAACCGCUGAAAGCAUCUAAGCGGGAAACUAGCCUCAAGAUGAGAUCUCACUGGAACCUUGAGUUCCCUGAAGGGCCGUCGAAGACUACGACGUUGAUAGGUUGGAUGUGGAAGCAUAGUGAUAUGUGAAGCUGACCAAUACUAAUUGCUCGU